CGUAAGUAGGCCAUCAAAACAAAAGGAUACACCAACGGCUGCAGUACAAUCUUCCGAGAGGAAACUGAAGAAAAGUCUUCAGCGUUGGUUUGUUAAGAAGUUUAUUUCUAGCAUUUUUAGCUUCCCCCUUUCGUUGGUUAUCUGCCAUGCACUGUAAAACGUUUAUUUUCGAUGGAACCGAUUUCGAACGCUGGAAAGCGUGGAUGACCCUGCAUCUUGCCAGCCAGGGAAUGCUGCAGUGCAUUCAGCACGAACCGGAAGCGCUUCUAGAACGCUAUGUGCUAGCGUCCGAUCGUUGGAUUGAGCUGGACAUGCAGCAGAUGGUGCUGCAUGCCUUCCGGCUGCUGGACCUGAAGUGUACCAAUGUACUGAUUCAAAACUUGGCCGUAUCUCAGUGUGCAAAGUUCAACUAUCGCCAGACGGCGUGUCAGAUUUGGAAAGCUUUGGCAAGCCAGUACGACGAUGCACUGUAGCACUGUUUGCUUCAAAAUGCAAGAGUAACAGUGGAGUGGAGCAUCGCAACGCAAUGCAAUACAAAACAAAAACUAAACAGCUAAUGUUCAAACAAAUUCGUCAAUAAAAAUUGUCCAAUUCAAGACUCCAGCGCUCGGCUGAUAGUUCGUAUCCUGUGAGAAGGUUAAAAACAACAUGAAAAUGAUAAAUGAAUAUAGCUCCGCUAUGUUUGCUCCAGCAUUCACAACACAAAAAACACACCUAGCGGAUCGUCUCCCGGUGCGUGUAGAAUCGAUAUGCAGACCCGUCCGUCGGUGAAAACUGAAAAAAAAGAAAUGGGGGAUUAAAAUCAUUUUCCAAUUGCAAAUUGAUUCAUUUAAUAGGAAGCAGCUUACUGUUGGGAUGGAACAUUUCACAGGUUCCUUCCGGGCCGCUGAAAAGAAAACGCAGGCACGAGUGAGUUUUACACCGGACCACACCACUGCCUGGUAUGCCACCGUCCCCCCUGUUUGAACUUUGACCAACAGGUGAAACUCACGUAAUUAGCGCUUCCCAUUCGAAGAAGUUCUCCUCACUGAUUGGGCCCGCAAUAAUACCUUCCGGAGGGUUGAGCGUAAGUUCUGCAAAAAAAAAAAAGGAAGUGAGAUUGGCUGAUGACAUUGUACGUGUAAGCAGCUGUAUUAGCAGGAAGAUAAUCUGCCCCGUUAGGUUUGGGGGCUACGGGCUGCCUGCUGCUGGGUACUUGCUGCAGCACCAUCACGAUCGCACCAGCCAACACUUACGCCUGUAUUCGGCCAUUAGGCGCCUCAAGGCGGAACCUGCCAUGCUGGCUAGUGUGUGUUUGUGUGUGCAGAAUCCUGACCGAAACGGACGAA